UCAACCGAGAUUCCCCCAGUAGCGGCGAGCGAACGGGGAGCAGCCCAGAGCCUGAAUCAGUGUGUGUGUUAGUGGAAGCGUCUGGAAAGGCGCGCGAUACAGGGUGACAGCCCCGUACACAAAAAUGCACAUGCUGUGAGCUCGAUGAGUAGGGCGGGACACGUGGUAUCCUGUCUGAAUAUGGGGGGACCAUCCUCCAAGGCUAAAUACUCCUGACUGACCGAUAGUGAACCAGUACCGUGAGGGAAAGGCGAAAAGAACCCCGGCGAGGGGAGUGAAAAAGAACCUGAAACCGUGUACGUACAAGCAGUGGGAGCACGCUUAGGCGUGUGACUGCGUACCUUUUGUAUAAUGGGUCAGCGACUUAUAUUCUGUAGCAAGGUUAACCGAAUAGGGGAGCCGAAGGGAAACCGAGUCUUAACUGGGCGUUAAGUUGCAGGGUAUAGACCCGAAACCCGGUGAUCUAGCCAUGGGCAGGUUGAAGGUUGGGUAACACUAACUGGAGGACCGAACCGACUAAUGUUGAAAAAUUAGCGGAUGACUUGUGGCUGGGGGUGAAAGGCCAAUCAAACCGGGAGAUAGCUGGUUCUCCCCGAAAGCUAUUUAGGUAGCGCCUCGUGAAUUCAUCUCCGGGGGUAGAGCACUGUUUCGGCAAGGGGGUCAUCCCGACUUACCAACCCGAUGCAAACUGCGAAUACCGGAGAAUGUUAUCACGGGAGACACACGGCGGGUGCUAACGUCCGUCGUGAAGAGGGAAACAACCCAGACCGCCAGCUAAGGUCCCAAAGUCAUGGUUAAGUGGGAAACGAUGUGGGAAGGCCCAGACAGCCAGGAUGUUGGCUUAGAAGCAGCCAUCAUUUAAAGAAAGCGUAAUAGCUCACUGGUCGAGUCGGCCUGCGCGGAAGAUGUAACGGGGCUAAACCAUGCACCGAAGCUGCGGCAGCGACGCUUAUGCGUUGUUGGGUAGGGGAGCGUUCUGUAAGCCUGCGAAGGUGUGCUGUGAGGCAUGCUGGAGGUAUCAGAAGUGCGAAUGCUGACAUAAGUAACGAUAAAGCGGGUGAAAAGCCCGCUCGCCGGAAGACCAAGGGUUCCUGUCCAACGUUAAUCGGGGCAGGGUGAGUCGACCCCUAAGGCGAGGCCGAAAGGCGUAGUCGAUGGGAAACAGGUUAAUAUUCCUGUACUUGGUGUUACUGCGAAGGGGGGACGGAGAAGGCUAUGUUGGCCGGGCGACGGUUGUCCCGGUUUAAGCGUGUAGGCUGGUUUUCCAGGCAAAUCCGGAAAAUCAAGGCUGAGGCGUGAUGACGAGGUACUACGGUGCUGAAGCAACAAAUGCCCUGCUUCCAGGAAAAGCCUCUAAGCAUCAGGUAACAUCAAAUCGUACCCCAAACCGACACAGGUGGUCAGGUAGAGAAUACCAAGGCGCUUGAGAGAACUCGGGUGAAGGAACUAGGCAAAAUGGUGCCGUAACUUCGGGAGAAGGCACGCUGAUAUGUAGGUGAAGUCCCUUGCGGAUGGAGCUGAAAUCAGUCGAAGAUACCAGCUGGCUGCAACUGUUUAUUAAAAACACAGCACUGUGCAAACACGAAAGUGGACGUAUACGGUGUGACGCCUGCCCGGUGCCGGAAGGUUAAUUGAUGGGGUU
rnacentral:rRNA from 1 species